AAAUAUAUACACAUCUUUUAUUUUCAGUACAACCUCAGCUGUCAGUUUAUGGGUGCAAAAAUUACAUAAAAUAAAUGUGACAGUAGAUCCAGAACCAUCAAAGUCAACCAAAAAACAAAAAUGGAAAUUGAUAUCAACAGUACUUUGCACAAAAACAUAUAAAUCUACAGUGACCAAGCCUUCUCUCACCUGCACAUCAUUCUUUCAAGUCUUGGCUAUCAGGAGAAGAAAUACUGGGAUUGGAACAAACACACAACAGAAACUAUUUACGUAUUUACACAAAUUUUUCCUGCCGUUUUUUGCUAUGAACAGUUGUUUAUGCCACUCAUUUAAGCAGUUCCUGUCUUUCCAAGCAUUGAGGACCAUUAUUUCUUAUUUUGCAGACAAGCAGGGAACUUUCGUCUCUUGUUGAUCUUUGGUUGCCUCUUAUUGGACACUACUGUCGAGGGAACAAUAGAAGAAAAAUAUGAGACCAUGUAAUUGGUCGAAAGUUUGACAGAAAAAGACGUCGUCAAAACAGCUUGUCAAACCCAGAAGACAUUAGCGGCAUUUAGAUCCAGAUCCCCACAUAAAUGAUGCAUUUCACUGUCAAAAUAUACUACCUAAUCAUGUACAGGACAAAACAAAGACUGCCCUGUCCACAGGGGGUGCCAAAGUCGACACAAGCUAAAAGUUCCUUACAGGAGCUUUAAUAAACUUACGUUUAAGAAGCACAGUGUGGCACCUAGUAGCAGAAAUUCAACCUGCUGAAGCUGUUUGAAGAACAUCUGGAAGCAUUUCGAUGCAAUUUAUAAAUUCAAAGUUGAAAAUUAGCUGCCUGAUUACUCUGUAACACUUAUGGCUAAUAUAAACUUUUAUUAAGUCAAGCAUUUUGAUACUGUGGCUCUUUUAAAAGAGAUACAGUCACGCCUUUGUACUUGUUAAGUGUGCUAAACUCUCUCACCAAGAAGCAGUCAGGAGGAGCAGGCUUAACCAGGCUAAUGAACAUUCAUGUGGCGUUACAGAGGAAAAGAACCUGAAAAAGUGCACCUACUUCCUCUUAUCACUGAUGUCAAACAGAAAAGUUACAUAAAGUCUUUGAAUUAAAAACUUUCCUCCCCAGCUGUCCUAGACAUUUCCAUUUCUGGUGUCUGUGCGAGCAAACAUUUUAGUAUUUACACAUCUAAAAGAGAUGGAAUAGCAUUCAUUUUUAUUUAGAGCUGUUUUUGUCCACCACCUGGCUAAAGUUAAACUUAACAUUUACUCCUCUUUUAGCUCUGGCUUUGCUCUGUACCUAUUUUAAAGGAGUUUUAUGACAACAGUUUGUUUGCCAGCUCGUCUCUAACUUUGUAUGCUGUGCAAUACUGAACAGAUAGAGUUUAAUGAGCUUCUAAAGAGAGAAAAUUAGCAUUUUCUGGCUGUAAAUGGUGCCGAUGAGUGUCUGUUUGAACCUUACGAUUUUGCAGAAAGGGCCCAGAGAGGUGAUAGGCCCAGUCUUUACUUUGGGUCAAAUCAAUCAUGAGAAGUGCACCUUUGCAUGUACCAACAAAUCUCUGAAGUUGAUUUUUGAAUAUUUAUGUAGCAUGAUUUAAUUUAUUUACAUCGUCUUAGACUUUAAAUGAACUCCCUCAGGUUUCAGGCAAAGCUAAUUUACACAGUGAGAGUUCAUUAUGCUAGACCUGCUGAGCAAUCUGUGGGGUUUAGGAGAUGAAUUACCCCAAAUGUGUAAUAGUCGAGUAUGAACUCACACAACAGCUUCAUGACAAAAUUAACAAUAAUACAUGUUAAAUACAUCAACCAUAUGCCAAACAAUCCAGAGCUGCAGACGCCAGUGAUUCAAUUCUCAAACAGCUGAUUCAAAAGUGUUAAACUGACUCUGAUUGCCGUCAAUUAUAAAUCUUCACCCACAACUGCUUAAGUGUUGAUUCUGAACCGGAUUACUGUGUGCGUACUGUCUGAAGGAUGAGCUGUCAUCAUUAGUGAAAUAUACUGACGCCAGAUCCUCACUAAUGUUGUGUUUUUUGCCCGACUGUGCAGUCUGUAUUUACCUUUUGGAGCAUGAUUUGUUUUUAGCAAAGAGCAGAUGCUGUUUGUAUACGCACAGUGGAAAUGGGAGAACAGUUUUCUCUUCUUGAGAUUUUUUUUUUUUUUAUAUCCUGAGAAGAGAGACAAUGUUUACCUGGGCAGGACGAAGACUCCCUGACCCUGACCAUUUACACAUCAUUACAGAUUUAACAGCUCUAUCUGAUUGAAAUAGAAGAAUGUGUGCUUGAUGAGCCCUGUAGUUUUCCUCUCCGGGCUGCUGUGUAAAUAUUAAAACACUCUACAGGCUGUCUGAGAGGAUGCAUGCUGUUAUAAAUCCUGUUAUUGUAUUAUUUUUGGGCAGGGUAGCAGCCCGGAUGAGGCUGGAAACAGGGAGAGAGGAGGGAGGAGAGGGUGAGUGAAGGGUGACGGGGGCGGACAGGUUCUUCAGCUGAGGCCCUCCAGAUAUAUUUGGUCUGAAUUUGCUUCUAAAUGCUCAUAUUAGUUUAUGGUUUUUACACCUGAGUGUCAGACAAUGUUCAGGUGGCUCCUCUUGGGGCAAACACAUGUUCAUGUUUCAGCAGGAAGAUCCUUCAUAGCUCAUGGGACAUGCGUAGAAAAACACACAUUACACAAACGUCUCAGCACACACAAGUCUGUAUUUGUAUCCUCUUUUGUGAGAUAUUCUGCAUUGUGAAAAACAGAGGACUUUACUGUCCUUGUUCUUCACACUGGAGAAGUAUACCUCAGGUUUGAUGUGAGUUGUUGCUGGUGAAACUUAAUCACUUACAAUGUUUUGUGCAAUUUUGUGCAAAAAGUUAUUAUGAGUGGCUAAUUUCUUCAAGUGAAGGUUGCUUUAGAGAGGAUGAUGAUAAAAUGCAUGGCAUCUUAUUCAAAAGAAGUUUCACAGAAAGUCCUGGAUAAAAGGAUGUGAUGAAGAUUUAUGUGUUUCUCUUUCUAAAUUCCUCCAAAAUAUUUUGAGUUUAAGCCACACAGAAAUGUGAGGGUUUUUUCCUAAAAAAUAAAUAAAUAAAUAAUAAUAAUAAUAAAAGAUAUAUAUAUAUAUAUGCGCAAGAAAAUACCAAAUAAUCUCACUCUUAAUAAAUGAUCUAAGCAGCUGUGAAACCUGUAAGCCUAUGUUGAGCAGAAAUAAUCAGCGUAAUGACACAGAGACUUGUUGUGUAUGUUAACUGUACAAAUUGCCCCUUUAGUGCUUGCAAGUCUCACCAUGGGCUUAAACUACAAGGUGAAAGGAAAAUAUUUAGUACUUACUGUGUUUUUAUCUGUACUCCUUUGAGUCGAGCGGUCCUCUCAUCCAGGGCACUUCACUGCAUUGUUGACCUUGUUUAACUUGCAUAUGACACAUGAACAAAUCUUGAAAUCUUGAAUCUUGAGCUUGAUCAACACACAAGGUAAGCCUAAAUUUUUUGUGUGUGUUUUAAAUUGUCCCACUUGGUUUUAGGUAGGUAUAACCAGACAAAAGAAAAAAAAAGAAAGUAAAGAAAAAGAAAAUGAAGUUUUUAGGGCAUAAACCAUUCUAAAAAAAUGUCGUGCAACUUUGGAUCUUGAGCUGUCAGCAUCAUCAUCACCUGUGCAUCAAGUUGUCAUUGAGAUAACUUAGUUUAUAUGAACUCAAACUAUUUCUUGUUUCUUGUUUUUUUCUUUUAAAGAACUGCCAGACACAUAUUAGAUUUCUUAAAAUAUUGUCAGCUUGUCUCUUUUAAGUCCGUCUCUUAUUUACGGCAUUAGGCACCACAAAAUAGUCUGAUUAAGAGCGACACCAUGUGGCCAUAAGUGGUCGACUUAUAUACAGAAUACUUUAUAUACAAUACUGCUAACAGUUGAUAUGCACAAAUUAACAUUACGCUGUCUUAAAAGAGUUCAGUGGUUCAGAGUUCACUGUGGUUUUAAAUU
rnacentral:lncRNA from 1 species